AUUGAACGCUAGCGGGAUGCCUUACACAUGCAAGUCGAACGGAGUGGCGAACGGGUGAGUAAUGUAUCGGAACGUGCCCAGUAGCGGGGGAUAACGACGCGAAAGCGUAGCUAAUACCGCAUACUAUUGGAGCGGCCGAUAUCGGAUUAGCUAGUUGGGGGGGUAACGGCUGACCAAGGCGACGAUCCGUAGCUGGUUUGAUAGGACGACCAGCCACACUUGGACGGAGAGCCGGUCCAGACUCCUACGGGAGGCAGCAGUGGGGAAUAUUGGACAAUGGGGGAAACCCUGAUCCAGCCAUCCCGCGUGUGCGAUGAAGUCCUUCGGGUUGUAAAGCACUUUUGGCAGGGAAGCGGUACCUGUAGAAUAAGCACCGGCUAACUACGUGCCAGCAGCCGCGGUAAUAC
rnacentral:rRNA from 1 species